CACGUAGGCGGAUUGCUAAGUCAGGGGUGAAAUCCUGGAGCUCAACUCCAGAACUGCCUUUGAUACUGGCGACCUUGAGUCCGGGAGAGGUGAGUGGAACUGCGAGUGUAGAGGUGAAAUUCGUAGAUAUUCGCAAGAACACCAGUGGCGAAGGCGGCUCACUGGCCCGGUACUGACGCUGAGGUGCGAAAGCGUGGGAGCAAACA
rnacentral:rRNA from 1 species